UAUCUUCUUCUCUCCCACUUAAUUGUGGCCACAUAGCCAUCUUUUCCCCCACUAAAUUUUGUCCACGCGGAUACUUUCUCACCACAUACAUCAUAUUCCACUCUCACGUGGAAAAAAAAGAAAAGUCUCAGAAACAGAGAAAAAGGAGGAUCCUCUUUCUCAAACUUCAACCUCCAUUCCUAUAAAAACUCCCUCUAAAUGUAAACCAUGGACCUGAAGAAAAGAGAGAAACUUCCUCUUCACUCAGAUGCUACUGUAACUACUUUUCCUUUCCCCUCACACUACAUCUUGCUUCUCCAAUGACUUCGGUGAAACUGCUUUGAUUCACGAUCGCGAAACAACGGUAAGGGUUCGACAUUGUGGUAAUAUUUUGCUUCGUACUUCCCCUGGUGUUGUGUCGUUAACCAAAUUAGCGGGUGUUGUGAUUAUUAUUUUAGAUUGCUUUGAGUUUUUUUUAGGAUGUUGCAGUAUAUUAUAACUUUGUAUAGUUGAUUUUUUUAAAAAAU
rnacentral:lncRNA from 1 species